rnacentral:rRNA from 1 species
UAUUUUGAGGAUUUGAUCCUGGUCCAGGAUGAACGCUGGCGGCGUGGAUAAGGCAUGCAAGUCAAACGGUCAAGCACAUAGCGCAAGUUAUAUGCUCGAUAGUGGCGAAUUAGUUAGUAACACGUAGAUAAUUUUCCCUAAGGACAGGCAUAAUUCAUCGAAAGGUGGACUAAUUCCUGAUAAUAAUGAGGGGGCGCAAGCCAUUCUCAUUUAAACCGAGCACAUAACUUAUUUUAUUUUUGUUUUUUAAGAAAACUAAUUUUUAUUCAAAAUUUUUCUUAGAAGAUAUGUAAGAUAAGUUAUGUACUCGGGCCAUAGGAUGAGUCUGCGACCUAUCAGCUAGUUGGUUGAGGUAAUGGCUCACCAAGGCAAUGACGGGUAGGGGGAAUGAGAGUUCGACCCCCAACGAGGGCACUGAGAUAUGGGCCCUACUCCUACGGGAGGCAGCAGUCGAGAAUAUUCGGCAAUGGGGGAAACCCUGACCGAGCGACGCCGCGUGAAGGAAGAAGCCCCUCGGGGUGUAAACUUCUUUUAUAGAGGAAAAACUCGCAAGAGUGAUUGUACUCUAGGAAUAAGGGGAUGCAAAUUCUGUGCCAGCAGCCGCGGUAAUACAGAAUCCCCAAGCGUUAUCCGGAUUUAUUGGGCGUAAAGCGUCUGUAGGUGGCAAGACAAGUCUUUAAUUAAACCUCAAGGGCUCAA